UACGUAGGGGGCAAGCGUUGUCCGGAAUCAUUGGGCGUAAAGAGCGUGUAGGCGGCUCGGUAAGUCCGCUGUGAAAGUCCAGGGCUCAACCCUGGAAUGCCGGUGGAAACUGUCGAGCUAGAGUCCGGAAGAGGCGAGUGGAAUUCCUGGUGUAGCGGUGAAAUGCGCAGAUAUCGAGAGGAACACCAGUGGCGAAGGCGAGUCCCUGGACAACACCUGACACUGAGGCACGAAAGCUAGGGGAGCAAACAGG
rnacentral:rRNA from 1 species